AGUGAACGCUGGCGGCGUGCUUAACACAUGCAAGUCGAACGAGAACGGGAUAUAGCUUGCUAUAUUUGUCAGCUAAGUGGCGCACGGGUGAGUAAUGUAUAGAUAACCUGCCCUCUAGAAAGGAAUAACAGUUGGAAACGACUGCUAAUGCCCUAUAUGCAUUUAAUACAAAAGUAUGCAAGGGAAACGCUUUAGUGCUAGAGGAUGGGUCUGUAUGGUAUCAGCUUGUUGGUGAGGUAAUGGCUCACCAAGGCUAUGACGCCUAACUGGUUUGAGAGGAUGAUCAGUCACACUGGAACUGAGACACGGUCCAGACUCCUACGGGAGGCAGCAGUGGGGAAUAUUGCACAAUGGACGAAAGUCUGAUGCAGCAACGCCGCGUGGAGGAUGACACAUUUCGGUGCGUAAACUCCUUUUAUAUAGGAAGAUAAUGACGGUACUAUAUGAAUAAGCACCGGCUAGCUCCGUGCCAGCCGCCGCCGUAA
rnacentral:rRNA from 1 species